CGGCGGCGAGCGAGGGCGGCAGGUGCGCUGCGGGCCCGAGUGCUCGCGGGCGGCGCCGGGGGAGGCUCGGGCCGACGGUGUCCUUGAAAUUAUCUGGAACACCGAGGGAAGAAAAAAACCAAGGAACUCCGUGAUUUAUUUAGAGGCAGAAAUCUAAAAAUGUCGCAGCAGCGUCUGGAGCGCAGGGCGGGCCGUGGAGCGGGCCCGUGUGGGCAGGGCCCGGGGCGGCAGCAGGCCGGGGGAUGCUGAGCUUUGGCACGGCUGCUGUGACGUCCCUUUAUUCUGCUGCCCUGCUUCAUUUAACAUGAGGUGAAUUACGAGUGAAAUCCGUGAGGCCGUGUUCAGCCCGAGCCCGGAGAAUGGGAAACGCGUGUAGGAGCCUGCGCUGCAAAACAACACAGAUCCCUGCGUGUGUUCUGCAGGGGCGGUCCCCGCGUUCAUUAGCUAAUAGGUCUGCUGCCUUGGGUUUAAUGGAAAUGAGGCAUGAUUUAUUUACAACGUGGUUGAUUCAUGGCAAGGGAAAAAAAAAACAAAAAAAACAGAACUAGACUAAGUACCUUUGUGAAAGAAAUAUAGAAAGGAUAUCCCAGAUCAGACUCUCAAGCGCUUCCAGGUGAAAUACAUUAUAAAAGCAUUACAUGUUAAUACAUGACUCAGGUUCCUGCUUAAUAGAGGUUCUUUUGAGGAAUAAAUGGCUUGUUUUUUAAAGAAACAAGUAAAAAAGCCAGUAUCUGAAUUUGACAGCAGUAGAAGCUGUCAAGAAUGUCUUCACAGACUAAUCUUGCUAUAGCUUCCUAUAUUGAACCUUUACUUUAUAAUUAAUCUUUCUAGAUUUAUGAUACCACAUAAUUUUUCCUAUGUUAUAAAAAAUGUAUUUAUUGGAUAAACCAACAUAAUCUCUUUGUACUUUCUUGGCGUUGCUCUUCACCAUUAUAACUUCAUAUGUAACAUAUGGGAUUAUGAAGAGGGCUGUUGCAUGGCACAGCAAGAUCUCAUUUUGUGAACAGAUGAAACAAACAGAGAAUUGUGCAGACUGUCACUGCCUUCUGUGCUAUUCCAUCCACAUCAUCAGGAUCACCAUCUAAGUGUAACUUUUGCCUAGAUGUCUGCAACAUUACGGAUGUUGUGUGAUUUAAGUUUUCAUGAGGUUUCUACUAACUUCAGUGAGGACAGUGUUUUACUGCCAGUGGAGAGAAGAGCUGCUGCAGUGUCCUGAUACAGAAACCUCAUCUGAACUGGAGAAGCUGCAGCAGUUGUGUGCUUUAUAUGCACUUCUGUAACCCAGCACUUUUCUUGACAAGAUUAAAUGGUCAGCAGAACUCACAUAAGUGUUUAUAAUGCUGGGGAGCCAUUUCAAGGUGGUAAGACAGACUAAUUUGAGGUUAUGAGGUUGUGUUCCCAGGGGCUUUUACACAAUGAGAUUUGUUAUUUCAACACAAGAAGUCAUGAAAGUAAAACUGGGUGUUAAGCUGGUUGUACACAGAGCUUUCAGCUGAUGCAAUGGAACAGCAUUUCAUCAGUAAUUGAUAAAUAUGAGAUGGAAAUCUACAGAUAAAUAAUUAUGAAACAUAAGCUACCUAAACUUCUCACUUAAACAACAAAUCUCUACUGAGAAAUUGUAUUUCAUUUCCAGUAGUUGAAUGUGUUUUGCUUAUUUGUGUGAAAUUUGGUAGAUUUACUUCAAACUUAAUCACUUCUCAUCUCCAAGUAAUGUGGGAGAACUUGCCUGACUGGACAGAAAACAGUGAAAAAAUCCCACUGAAACAACUAGAACAAUCGUCUUCUUGUGUUAUCACACCAGUGUUUCAGUGUGGAAUGCAGCUUAAUUUGUUCAAAUUGAUGCUGACCAUGGAAUAUGUAUUAUGACAUUUGCUUAAGAUAGUUGCUGUGUUUUUAAAAAAUAAUGACUCAUUAUGGCAAGGCUGUCUGUUAUGAAAUUCUUCUUUUCUUCCCAAGAUACAUACCACCAGAAAGGUCACACUUGAAAGGGCUGUUAUGCACACUCAAAUAACAGGAAUGUCUAAGAUCUAAAUUGGGCAGUGAUUAAAUAGACAUGAGAUCUACAUAAAUCUAUACAAUAUACAGAAUACAGAAAAUCGUGUUGGGUGACCUGAGUGGCCACUCAGGUGAAAAAAACUCAAGCCUCCCAUAAAAUUUAACUGUGUUAUCACCAAAAAGAAAAACAAACCAAAGCACUCAGAACCAGUUAUGUUAGAUCCUCUAUCCACAGCUAUCACAAAUAUGCCAGGGUAUCUGGUUACAACAUCAUCUUGAUUGAGUGUUGUGUAAGAGAACUUGAUAGUGUCAAAAUUCUUAAGGAAGCCAUCAAAAAAUUCUACAAACCCUGUUGAAUUUUAAAAUACUUGGUAGCUGCCCAUGAUUAAAUUUGAACAUCCUUGGCAGCUGAUUUUUCAUACUCAAUCAUAAGGGUCCAGUUCUCAAAGCUGGCAGUUUGUAAACAAUUAUUGCUACUUCUUUGCUGCAACAUGGAGUAAGUGAAUAGUUCAUAAGCAAAAAUGGUUGAACUCAGCAGGUGCUGACUGCAAUUUUGCUACUAAGUUUUUGACUUUAUUGCUGCAUCUGCAGGGUAGUGGAGAUAUCCUUUCUGAACACAAUGGAGGAAACAAAUCAAAUGAAGAAGAAAAUCUAGGUCGACACAAAAAUAAAAAAUGGGAGACUAAACCAACAUAUCUCAGCAAAAUGGAAAGGCACUUGGUAAUGACUGUCUUGAGAAUUCAAAUCAUAGGAUUACAAGCAAAUCUAACAGCACAUGUGUGGCUACUCACACCCUUACUUAUAUGGGCUCUGUUUACAUCUAGUGGGUACAAAGUCCUGUGAAACACAAGGAUCUGAUUACACACGUCUCACUGAAGUCAAGGCAGCUUCUUAUAUGGAAAGCUUGAACAUUUGUAUGGGCUGAGUGGCACUGGCAUGGAAGCAUGAAGCAAGGGCUGCUCAGUAACACCCUGCCCCUGACGUCCAGGCAGGCUCAGACUGAGCUCCACGGCAGCAGCACCUGAACAGGGACUGCAGCACUCGUGGGGCUGGAGGCUGCCAGGGUGAGCAAGGGGAAAAGGCAGCAGGAACAAAGCAGACACCAAAAUAACAGUUUUACUGGCCUGGGACUAAAAUCAUCAGCAUAAUUACUAAAAAAGACAAGUCCACAAAGCGAAGUGUAUCUGGUCAUGGGACAUGAGGUGUCCUGCACCGGCAGCCACAGCAGGGAGCAGAACUGGAACCAGAGAGGGAAGGUGAGCUGGGAACUGCUCCAGGAGGCUGGGAAUCAUGAUUCCAAUAGCGACUGCUGCCUGGCAGCAGGCAGAGGGAGCCCAGCUCUGCCACUGCCAGGACAGAGCUGCCCUGCAACUCCUCCUGACACGGCCAGGAAAGGAUUAGCCCUCACUCUUGCUGUAAUGCUUACACCUAUUACAUCUCAAAUUUAGCACUACAUAUGCAAUCAUUCUAUCACAGAUAGUUUGCAAUCUAUCUUACCACACAGUUAGAGGCAUUUAAGAUGGUGAUAAUCCUUUCUUAAUAUCUUAAUUAACAUUUAAAUAGCUGACUAGCUUGUAAUGUAGCUUACCUAGUUCACUAACCUGGUUCUAAAAUAUAUUUUUGGCACUUUGAAAAUAAUAAAGUAACAGCUACACUUUUAAAUUUAAAUUCCAUAUUACCAUCUAUAUAAAGAAAUUUAGUUCUGUAUUUAGGCUGUAUUUUUGAGAAAGCAAGGGGUAGUGUCCCAAGUGAUGUAAUUUUACUCCAUACAUACACAGUUCCUACUGAAAUUAAUUCACUACCUCUCAAAGAAAAAAAUAUGAAAAUACAAUCUUCAAUUACAGCCAUAAUGUUUUACAGCUGACAACUUCUGAGUAAUUAUGAAAUAGGAGUUUAUUUACAGACUAAAAUUCAAAUAACUUCAUUGUAUUAUUUUGCUGGGUGCAUUUCAGCUGCUUUGCCAUUUUUCUGGCAUUUGUUGUUGUUGUUCAAUGUAUUUUCAGGCCUAUUUAAUAGGAAAAUGAAAAGAAAUAGGUUUCAGAUCCAAUCCAUUAGAACAGGACUUUGAGAUGCACAAAGAAUACAUUCCUUCAAAGUAUGUUUGACUAAAAAUAAUAAUAAAAAUCUAAAAUGCAGACAUAGCACCCACAUCCUCCCAGAUUUGCCUGUUGUUGUUUUAAUGCAUAAGCUGCCAGCAACUCAAAAGAAGGGUUUAUAUAUACACAGCUUAAUCACUGUUGUAAUCUUACAUAAGAUUACAACAGCCAUUAAAAUGUUCUUUUGCAAACAGUGUUAUGGUAACUAGCUAAAAUGCCAGUUUGUCUUGUACCAGCAGCAACAAGAGAUGUAUAAAAUCACCCAAGUAGUUGUGACAAAUGUGGCUCUGACAAUUAACAAUUGCAGGAAUUUAAUUAUUGGACCUGAGACUGAGAAUGCAGUGAGGCUGCUUACCAUAUCUCAAACAACCUGCAGUGCAAUGGUGUUUCUUGGGAAAAAAAAAUCAUUCACCCUCUUCCUUCAAGUGCUUGUUCACUUUUCCUGAGGAGACAGAAAUGACAUCAGAACCAGAACCACCAGGGGCUGUAGGUGGGUUACAGCAACUACUGCUGAUUUCUGCUGCAGUUGUAUGACAACAGAGCUCCUCAGUACUUCCCCAAGGAAAAUCUUCAUCUUCCAGGUCACGAAUUGUGAGAACUCAGAAAAUAGGUAGAAUCCCUUAGGGAUUAUAUAAAUCUUCCUUAUGUGCCUAGAGCACAGAUGCUAAGGCACUGUACACACGAGUAAGACCUGAAGUAUGCCAAAACACACAACCAUUUCUUAGAGGUAGACUGACCCUUUUUCUGUCUAGAAACAUUGCUAGCCCUCACUGUUCAGACUGAGAGUCCUUCACUACUUGGACUAGUCCUACAACAAUUAGCCCUUCAGAAGAAAAAGAUAAAACAAGAUAACUAGAUGGACAUGACAAGAGGUACUGCAGUAUUCCCAUUUCCUUCUUGAAAAAAAUCCAAGAAUGCCAAAAUGCCCCCCCAGCAGACAUAGCUGGGAUGGAAAAGGUUACAUGAGAUACAACAGACAAAGUCAAGAAGACUUUUAUUUUCAGUGAUUUAAGUUGAUGGACAGUUCUCUUUUCCCCCCUCCUUUAGAAGAGUGGAGUUGUUCCUUCCCACAGCAGGGGUGGUGGGAAAUGGAACAGAAAGGAAACCUACUCAAACAAAUGCUCAAACACUGUCCCCUGUCCCCAUGGGAAGGAAAACCUUGACAGAGCUGUGACAAUCCCUCGUCCCCAAGGGAGGAAGAACCCUGCUAGAUUUGCUAUCCAACAUAAAGAUCUGCAGGUAAGGGUCCCAGUGACUGUGCACUGUUGUUAAAUUCAACUUCACAUCACCAGGUAUUACUGGAUUCUUCAAAGUAAAAGCUACAUUACACAUCACAGCAUUAUAAGGAAACAAAAUACAAAGUGCUUUAGUCAAAUGUUAUAUACAGAUUUUACAAAAGAAAAAAACUUUGCUUAAAAAUUUAAAUUUUACUAUUAUUUUAAGUAAGUGGAUAAACUAAAAACACCUAUUGGUAAAAAAAUACAUGAGCGAAGAAGAAAUUCUCACCCAAAAUUCAACAUCAUGCUACUCAUAGUACACAUUAAGUUUUAUGGUGUAAACACUAGGAAAAAAAAUCACUUGGUUUGACAACUGCACAGCAAAAUAAUUUUCUAAGGGACAUACUAUUCCUCAGAUUGAAGUUAAUUUUAUCCUAUUUAAUUAUAUCCUGUUACCAAUUUAAAUCCUGCCCUAGAACAUUGAGUUUGCCAUGCUGGCUUGCAUGUAUGUGAUGAACAUUUGUGAUUUAUUAGACUUUUUGAUUAUUUUUGAGGUGUUGUUAAUUACUCUACAUACAGAUUUUUCCUUCUGCUGUUACAAUGUCUUUGUGGCACUGCUUGUGUACCAUCACCCACUACUCUCUGCUUUAAACUGGAAUACUUGCAUUUAAGGAAAAUGUGACCCUUUUUACUACAUUUCUGAGACCUGCAAGAGAAUUUUUCUGUCAGCUCUGAUCUGCUACAGGAAUAAAAUCUGCUGUGGUCAACACUGUAUUUAUUUUAAAAUGACCUGAUGAUCCCAAAAUCUUAGGCCACAAAAGGCACUGGCUAUACUAUGGCAGGAAACAGCAGCUCUGAAGGGAUUGCAGUACAUCCAAACGUUUGGGACAGAACAGAUUCCAUUACCAGCAAGGUCACUGCACUUGGUCCCCACUCCACACACACAGUGUCAUUUUGUGUACACUGAAUCUGCUCAAAAAUACCACAGAUUAGGCAAAGAGAGAACAAUCAGGGUCUGCAUCUCUAUUCCCACCCAGCUGUGUGGAAAAUCUCUAUUCUUAAAGUAGCAGAAUAAAAUCCAAGCAUAUUCCUGAGAAAUGCCAAAUACCCACCAACAUAACUAGACAGGACUGAUAAUAGUUUGGCAUCUUGAAGCUAAAAGUCAGUUAGCAAGACUGCUAAAUGUCAGCUCUUUAGUAUUUAUGGUUCACUAUUUCAAGGGGAAAAAAGAAAGAAAAAUCAACAGCACACAUACCAAGGGGCAGAAUCUCCGUAUCUUAGACUGAGAAUCUUCACAAAUAUGAUGAGAUCAAGUAAUACCUAUUUUCUUUUAAAAAUACCACAAGUAAAAUUCAAGUAUAAUGAAAGCACAUCAAGAAACAAACUGUACAAUUUCUGAACUGCACUGUUUAUUUUGCUGCUUGAAACCUAAGUGACAGUAUGCCACUAUAAUUAUGGGGUUUCUUCUAAACCUUUACUACACUGCAGGUACAGAAAUAUAUGGACACAUUUUUGGAGAACUGACAUUUUGCAAAAUGCAGCAAACAUUUCAAUUUAUACAUGAGAAAAGGAAGUGUUCAAAAGGGUAUGCAUUUCAAGUUAUUGCAGGUUAUUUCUGUGAGAGAAUUUCUGCAGGUAAAACAUGUUUAAAUUUAACCAACAGUAACGUGUCAGUGUACUUAAAAUCAUGACAAAAAUCUUCUCUCUGGUCAUUAAUUGCCCCUUGACAAAUUACUAGGAUGUUGUAUGUUUAGGGCAAGAUGUCAAUACAGCAUAAAUCCCGUGGCAUUUUGGUUUUCUUCUGGAGAUUAAAGCUGUUUUUUUCUUGGGAUAAAUGCAGCAGCAAAACACAAACCAGCUGAUCAAAAAAGCACUUCUGCCAUAACUCCAAUAAUUUCAGGGCACACCAACCGACAGUAGUUUUGCCAUUCCCAGUUCUUUUAAGGUUUACAUCACUGCACUGUUGCCUUAAGUAGGUUUGUAGAAGCUUGGUUUCUGUUAGGCCAGCUUGCUGACUACAGCCUGGUUGAGAGAAUUUAGUUGGUUGGUCCAUUUAUCU